CAGCAAUAUUCUUGGUAAGGCUAAUUGUACAUUGUCUCAGAUUUCAAAUGGGAGAUUGGUCAGGACUUGGUGCGCACAUCAAAAAUCAGUUUGACAUUUUCCAGCGAUGAUUCAUUUCUUAUUUCUGGUUCAGAAGAUGGCAUGAUCAUUAUUUAGCCUAUGAUCGGGAAAAAUAAAUAACUGACUUUGUAAUCACAUUGUUUGGUGGAAGUUUGGUAGAUGAGACAGAAUGUU